AUACUGACAAAAAGAGUAGAAAAACUUGCCGAAGGAUACCAGGUACCAGGACCACAGGCUCAUCAUGUAUAUAUAUGUAUACAUAUAUCUAUAAAAGCAAUCUACGAUUGCGGGCACACUGCCACAAGAGGAAUUAAUCCUGGGUCUGCCGUUUCCUAAACUUCUACAAUUUCGCAAGCGAGGCAUAUCACGAAGGAAAAUAAAGAAUGUGACGAUGAUCGCCAGAGCUAAAAAGAUUCUACUGACAAGUUAUCAAAGUUUGCCGCCACAGCGUGCUUCGGUCACAGACAAGAUGGGUGUGUCUUGCGGUAAAGUACAAACAUUGCUACGUCCCUUGGGAAAUGCGCAGCUGUCCAGCAACUCUCAUAAUUUCACAGUAUUAUACGGAGAAAUAAUGCAAUUUUUAAACACAUUGAUUGAUCAUGAAUUAAUCAAAAGCAAAAAAAAAAAAAUUAAUCACGCGAUUUUGUAAUUAAUAUUAAAUUUUUAAAUAUUAUUAUAUUAUUAUUUCUAGUACUUUUAAUAAUAGAAAGACCGCAAGAUGAUCUAAAUGUAUCAAGACUGCAUUCUUCAAGAUUUAAAUCUUCUUGAAAAAAUCUGCAUUUCAGUUUCAAUUUAAAAAAUGAUUAUUAUUUUUAAUGUGUGAAAAAUCAUAUCUUACAUUUGUGUAUAAAUUUUCUCAAUAUAUAAGCUCCAUUAGAGUUUUAUUCAAAGUAACAUUUUAGAUUUUAGAUUAUGUUUGUAGAGUGAAAAUAGAUCGUCGCUUCUCUUCGAGCUUCAAUAUUUAGUUACUCGGUAUUACGUCUAAAAUAAAGCUGAGAGAUUUUUUAUCCAUUUUCUGAA